rnacentral:rRNA from 1 species
UACGUAGGCAGCAAGCGUUGUUCGGAAUUACUGGGCGUAAAGAGUGUGUAGGCGGUGCUCUAAGUUCGGUGUGAAAUCUCCCGGCUUAACUGGGAGGGUGCGCCGGAAACUGGAGUGCUUGAGCGCGGGAGAGGAAAGCGGAAUUCCUGGUGUAGCGGUGAAAUGCGUAGAUAUCAGGAGGAACACCUGUGGUGUAGACGGCUUUCUGGACCGUAGCUGACGCUGAGACACGAAAGCGUGUGUAGCAAACAGG